CGUUGACCCGUAAUCCGGGUUGCGGACAGUGUCUGGUGGGUAGUUUGACUGGGGCGGUCUCCUCCUAAAGAGUAACGGAGGAGCACGAAGGUUGGCUAAUCCUGGUCGGACAUCAGGAGGUUAGUGCAAUGGCAUAAGCCAGCUUGACUGCGAGCGUGACGGCGCGAGCAGGUGCGAAAGCAGGUCAUAGUGAUCCGGUGGUUCUGAAUGGAAGGGCCAUCGCUCAACGGAUAAAAGGUACUCCGGGGAUAACAGGCUGAUACCGCCCAAGAGUUCAUAUCGACGGCGGUGUUUGGCACCUCGAUGUCGGCUCAUCACAUCCUGGGGCUGAAGUAGGUCCCAAGGGUAUGGCUGUUCGCCAUUUAAAGUGGUACGCGAGCUGGGUUUAGAACGUCGUGAGACAGUUCGGUCCCUAUCUGCCGUGGGCGCUGGAGAACUGAGGGGGGCUGCUCCUAGUACGAGAGGACCGGAGUGGACGCAUCACUGGUGUUCGGGUUGUCAUGCCAAUGGCACUGCCCGGUAGCUAAAUGCGGAAGAGAUAAGUGCUGAAAGCAUCUAAGCACGAAACUUGCCCCGAGAUGAGUUCUCCCUGACUCCUUGAGAGUCCUGAAGGAACGUUGAAGACGACGACGUUGAUAGGCCGGGUGUGUAAGCGCAGCGAUGCGUUGAGCUAACCGGUACUAAUGAACCGUGAGG
rnacentral:rRNA from 1 species